CGGCUUGGUUCUAUUUUGUUGGUUUCUAGGAUCACCGUAAUGAUUAAUAGGGAUAGUUGGGGGCAUUAGUAUUCAAUUGUCAGAGGUGAAAUUCUUGGAUUUAUUGAAGACUAACUACUGCGAAAGCAUUUGCCAAGGAUGUUUUCAUUAAUCAAGAACGAAAGUUAGGGGAUCGAAGACGAUCAGAUACCGUCGUAGUCUUAACCAUAAACUAUGCCGACUAGGAAUCAGACGAUGUUAAUUUUUUAAUGACUCGUUUGGCACCUUACGGGAAACCAAAGUGUUUGGGUUCCGGGGGGAGUAUGGUCGCAAGGCUGAAACUUAAAGGAAUUGACGGAAGGGCACCACCAGGGGUGGAGCCUGCGGCUUAAUUUGACUCAACACGGGGAA
rnacentral:rRNA from 1 species